rnacentral:pre_miRNA from 1 species
UAAUCUCAACUGGUAAAAUUGAGCUCUGCUGCCUGUCGCUCCAAAGGCUCAAGUUACUUGUUGGGAUUAUG